rnacentral:rRNA from 1 species
ACGGUUUUUUGCGGCGGUCUAUCAUGCAAGUCGAGCGCAGGAACCAGAUGAUCCCUUCGGGGUGAUUCUGGUGGAAUGAGCGGCGGACGGGUGAGUAACACGUGGGCAACCUGCCUGUAAGACUGGGAUAACUUCGGGAAACCGGAGCUAAUACCGGAUAGUAUUUCCUUUCUCCUGAUUGGAAAUGGAAAGACGGUUUCGGCUGUCACUUACAGAUGGGCCCGCGGUGCAUUAGCUAGUUGGUGGGGUAAUGGCCCACCAAGGCGACGAUGCAUAGCCGACCUGAGAGGGUGAUCGGCCACACUGGGACUGAGACACGGCCCAGACUCCUACGGGAGGCAGCAGUAGGGAAUCUUCCGCAAUGGACGAAAGUCUGACGGAGCAACGCCGCGUGAGCGAUGAAGGCCUUCGGGUCGUAAAGCUCUGUUGUUAGGGAAGAACAAGUACGAGAGUAACUGCUCGGACCUUGACGGUACCUAACCAUAUAACCCCGGGUAACGACAUGACAAC